AAAUAAGUUGAGUUUGAUGAUGGCUCUGAGUGAACGCUGUCCAAAUGCUUGACACAUGCUAAUCGUACGACUUCGCUCAUAAAAAAAAAGAGCGAAGCAGUGGUGUACAGGUGAGUAUAAGAUAACGUGACUGCCUUGGAGUAAGGAGAAAGAUCCCUUAUAAUAAUAAAGAAACACAGGUUUCGCUCUUAGAAGCAUGUAUCUCGUGUAGUUGUAGUAGUUAAAGUAGUGGUUUAACUAGCCUUAUACACGUAGUCGAAACUGAAAGGUUGAUCGAUCACAGUGGGACUGAACAAAUCCCACGAUUAUUAUCACAGCAGUGAGGAAUAUUGGUCAAUAGCCUAACGGCUGAACCAGCAAUUUGGAAGAAUGUAUAGCAAUAGCUGAUUGCACCAACAAACAGUUGAUGCAAAAUUGAUUAUAUCAAAUAAAAUUCUAGGUAGAUUUUUGAUAAUGACAUUGCUUACCUAAGUCUUGACCAAAUUACGUGCCAGCAGUCGCGGUAAUACGUAAAAGACUAGUGUUAUUCAUCUUUAAUUGGUUUAAAGGGUACCUAGACAGCGAAUAAAGCCAUUGUAGGGACUAAUUCGCUAGAGUUACUUAUGAGGGGGUAUUAAAGUACUGCAGGUGUAGAGAUGAAAUUUUGUUAUACCUCUUUUCAUAUGAGAAAAUAUGGCACAGGUAUAGGUGAAAGCAUCCCCUUAUGUGAUAACUGACGUUGAGGGACGAAGGCUUUGUGUCGCGAACAGGAUUAGAUACCCCAGUAGUCAAAGCAGAAAAUGAUGAAUGUCAUAGAUUAGAUAUACAAUUUAUUCUAUAAAUGAAAGUGUAAGCAUUCCACCUCAAGAGUAAUUUGGCAACAUUGGAACUGAAAUCAUUAGACCGUUUCUGAAACCAGUAGUGAAGUAUGUUUAUUUACAAGCGUUGCACGGCUGUCUUCAGUUAAUGUCGUGAGAUUUUGGUUAGUUCCAUUAAAUUAACGUAAACCCUUAUUUUAUUUUUAUAUAAAGUAGUUCCCCGCUAUAUUGGAUAUGAUAACAGGGACUAAGACAAGUCAUCAUGGCCUAAAUAUUGUGGGCUAUAGACGUGCCACAUAAACCUCACAAAAGGAUGUGAAAUUGUGAAAUUGAGCUAAUCCUCCAAAAAUGGAUAAACAUUUAAUGGAUUGCAGUCUGUAACUCGACUGCGUGAAAAAGGAAUUACUAGUAAUCGUGUAUAAGUACGGCACGGUGAAUCUAAUCUCAGAUAGGUACUAACUACUCGUCAGGCGCUGAAAAAAGUAUGUGCAAUAAGUUUGGCUAGUGCUUAUUUAAAUUUUGGGCGAUCUUGUCCGAAAACUUAGGCAUGUUGUCUUCGUAUGCGUGACUUUGAUUAGUGUUAAGUCGAAAUACGGUUCGUGUAGUGGAAAUUGCACGGGAUUUAUGUAUAUUAAAA
rnacentral:ncRNA from 1 species